rnacentral:rRNA from 1 species
AGAGUUUGAUCCUGGCUCAGAACGAACGUUGGCGGCGUGGAUUAGGCAUGCAAGUCGAGCGCGAAAGUCCCCUUCGGGGGGCGAGUAAAGCGGCGAAAGGGUGAGUAAUGCAUAGGUAACGUACCCUUUAGUCCGGGAUAAGAGCGGUUACCUUCGGGUAACCUACCGAAAGGGCUUCUAAUACCGGAUGUUGCCCGGGUGUCGCAUGGCACCUUGGUCAAAGGCGGGGAUCUUCGGACCUGUCGUUAAAGGAGCGGCCUAUGUCCUAUUAGCUUGUUGGUGAGGUAACGGCCCACCAAGGCUUUGAUGGGUAGCCGGCCUGAGAGGGCGAUCGGCCACACUGGGACUGAGACACUGCCCAGACUCCUACGGGAGGCUGCAGUCGAGAAUCUUUUGCAAUGGACGAAAGUCUGACAAAGCGACGUCGCGUGGAGGAAGAAGGUCAUUGUUAUUGUAAACUCCUUUUAGAGGUUAAGAAAUGUCAUGGCGCCAAUACCGCCGUGAUCUGACAAAGGCCUCAGAAAAAGCACCGGCUAACUUCGUGCCAGCAGCCGCGGUAAUACGAAGGGUGCAAACGUUGUUCGGAAUUACUGGGCAUAAAGGGCUCGUAGGAGGUUGUACAAGUCAGGUGUGAAAUCCCCCGGCUCAACCGGGGCACUGCAUCUGAAACUGUUCAACUUGAGUGUAGCAGGGGAGAUUGGAACUCUUGGUGGAGCGGUGAAAUGCGUUGAUAUCAAGGGGAACGUCGGUGGCGAAGGCGAAUCUCUGGGCUACUACUGACUCUGAGGAGCGAAAGCCAGGGGAGCGAACGGGAUUAGAUACCCCGGUAGUCCUGGCCGUAAACGAUGGAUACUAAGCAGGGGGAAUUCCGAUGUUUUCCCUGCUGGAGCAAAUGUGUUAAGUAUCCCGCCUGGGGAGUACGACCGCAAGGUUAAAACUCAAAGGAAUUGACGGGGGCUCGCACAAGCGGUGGAGUAUGUGGUUUAAUUCGAAGCAACGCGAAGAACCUUACCAGGGCUUGACAUGCUGGAAGUAGAAACCUGAAAGGGUGACCAACGGUACCCAAUCCGUAACCAGCACAGGUGCUGCAUGGCUGUCGUCAGCUCGUGUCGUGAGAUGUUGGGUUAAGUCCCGUAACGAGCGAAACCCUUGUCCUUGUUGCCAGCGGUUCGGCCGGGCACUCGAUGGAGACUGCCGGUGUUAAACCGGAGGAAGGUGGGGAUGACGUCAAGUCCUCAUGGCCUUUAUGCCCUGGGCGACACACGUACUACAAUGGCUGGAGCAAUGAGUUGCAAUACCGCGAGGUGGAGCUAAUCUCAAAAUCCAGUCCCAGUUCGGAUUGAAGGCUGAAAUUCGCCUUCAUGAAGUCGGAAUCGCUAGUAAUCGCAGAUCAGCCAUGCUGCGGUGAAUAUGUUCCCGAGCCUUGUACACACCGCCCGUCAAGCCACGAGAGCAGGUAGUGCCCGAAGUCCGUAGCCUAACCCCGCUUCGGUGGGGAAGGAGCGGCCGACGGUAAGAUCUGUGAUUGGGACUAAGUCGUAACAAGGUA